rnacentral:misc_RNA from 1 species
GAUGAAGAACGUAGCGAAAUGCGAUACGUAAUGUGAAUUGCAGAAUUCAGUGAAUCAUCGAAUCUUUGAACGCAUAUUGCGCUCUUUGGUAUUCCGAAGAGCAUGCUUGUUUGAGUAUCAGUAAACACCUCAACCUCUUCUUGAUUUUUCAAAAGGAGGGUGGACUUGAGCUAUCCCAACAACCUUUACCGGUCGGCGGGCGGCUUGAAAUGCAGGUGCAGCUGGACUUUUAUCUGAGCUAAAAGCAUAUCUAUUUAGUCCUCGUCAAACAGGAUUAUUACUUUUGCUGCAGCUAACAUAAAGGAUAAUUGUCCUCUUUGCUGACUGAUGCAGGAUUUUACGACACUUUAUGUGUUGUUCAACACGAUCUCAAAUCAAGUAAGACUACCCGCUGAACUUAAGCAUAUAAUAAGCGGAGGA